UUCCUUAAUUAGUCAUAAUGGUUAUGACUAACCUAGUGACAUGGGCUAACUCGAGUUCAAUAAAGUAAUCUAAUACAAAAUAUAAUCUCUCAAAAUGGUCAGAUAAGUUAAGAUGUGUGGAAGUUCCCCUAUUGCUUUCUUUAGAUACCAAUAAAUUGAUCAGAUUAGACAAUAGAAUCAAUUAAAGAACUACAAUCUAUGUAGUUACCUUAGACACCAAAUUAGUUGAUUAGAAUUGAUCAGGUUAGCCUAUUGACCGGGCUCAAACCAUUGAGCCGAAUAAGGUCUCAAGUUGAUCGAUAACAUAUGGCUGUUAACCGAUCUGACCAAACUUACAACUACUUAGGUUGGUCAUGAGCACAUUUGAUCCCCUCUUAAUCAAUAUUUAAUUUGGUUUGAUC
rnacentral:lncRNA from 1 species